rnacentral:snRNA from 1 species
CCCAAAACUCUAUAGCGU